rnacentral:rRNA from 1 species
UACUGGUGAAGACCUAGUGGCGAACGGGUGAGUAACACGUGAGCAACCUGCCCCGAAGACUGGGAUAACAGCGGGAAACCGCUGCUAAUACCGGAUGCCCCCACCGGGUCGCAUGGCCUGGUGAGGAAAUGGAUUCCGCUUCGGGAGGGGCUCGCGGCCUAUCAGCUUGUUGGUGGGGUAAUGGCCUACCAAGGCGACGACGGGUAGCUGGUCUGAGAGGACGAUCAGCCACACUGGGACUGAGACACGGCCCAGACCCCUACGGGAGGCAGCAGUGGGGAAUAUUGCGCAAUGGGCGAAAGCCUGACGCAGCAACGCCGCGUGAGGGAUGAAUGCCUUCGGGUUGUAAACCUCUUUCGAGCAGGGACGAUAAUGACGGUACCUGCAGAAGAAGCUCCGGCCAACUACGUGCCAGCAGCCGCGGUUAUACGUAGGGAGCAAGCGUUGUCCGGAUUUAUUGGGCGUAAAGAGCUCGUAGGCGGCUUGGCAAGUCGGAUGUGAAAUCUCCAGGCUUAACCUGGAGUCGCCAUCCGAUACUGCUAUGGCUAGAGU